UACGAAGGGGGCUAGCGUUGCUCGGAAUCACUGGGCGUAAAGCGCACGUAGGCGGAUUGUUAAGUCAGGGGUGAAAUCCUGGAGCUCAACUCCAGAACUGCCUUUGAUACUGGCGAUCUCGAGUCCGGGAGAGGUGAGUGGAACUCCGAGUGUAGAGGUGAAAUUCGUAGAUAUUCGGAAGAACACCAGUGGCGAAGGCGGCUCACUGGCCCGAUACUGACGCUGAGGCACGAAAGCGUGGGGAGCAAACAGG
rnacentral:rRNA from 1 species